GGGCCCGCACAAGCGGAGGAACAUGUGGUUUAAUUCGAUGAUACGCGAGGAACCUUACCCGGGCUUGAAUUGCUGAGGAAAGAUCCAGAGAUGGUGAUGCCCUUCGGGGCCUCAGUGAAGGUGCUGCAUGGUUGUCGUCAGCUCGUGCCGUGAGGUGUCGGCUUAAGUGCCAUAACGAGCGCAACCCCUCUCUUCAGUUGCCAUCAGGUUAAGCUGGGCACUCUGGAGACACUGCCACCGUAAGGUGUGAGGAAGGUGGGGAUGACGUCAAAUCAGCACGGCCCUUACGUCCGGGGCUACACACGUGUUACAAUGGCCGGUACAGAGAGUUGGACACCCGCAAGGUUGUUCUAAUCAAGAAAUCCGGUCUCAGUUCGGACUGGGGUCUGCAACCCGACCCCACGAAGCUGGAUUCGCUAGUAAUCGCGCAUCAGCCAUGGCGCGGUGAAUACGUUCCCGGGCCUU
rnacentral:rRNA from 1 species